UCAGCGCAGGGAGAGGACACACCUGAGGCCGGUGGCUGGCCUGACACCCGGGGCCAGCUGGUGGAAAGGGGCAGCCAUGUCAGCCAAGAUCCUGGGCAGCGGCCACACAUCUGUCUCCUGGGCCUUCAGCACAUGAGCUCCCUGGACAUCAGACAGCCACUGGCCCCAGCCUUUCCUGCUGUCCAGGUGGAAGGGAGCCCCUCCACAGCUCAGCUCAGGUUGCAGGAGUCCAAGGAGCCACCCCCAGGUAAGCCCCCUGGAAAUGGCUUGUGUGCCUCCCCUGCAUGGGUCUUGCCAGAAGCUUCUCCCACAUCCAGAGGAUCCUGUCUGAGACUGGUGCCCAGCUGCCAGACAAGGACAGGGAGGCCCACAAGGGAAGUGGAAGAGCACAGGCCUUGCUGGCCUGCCACCCUGGCCGCAGACCCCUUCACCGCUAGAAGACUGGCUGGCUCCAUUUCUCACAGGAGAUGACAUGGCUGCUCUUCUGGUGAAAUUAAAAAUCACAAUUUGUUCUGAC